UCAUUUCUCUCUGUAGCUCUCUGGUCUCUGCCUGUCUUUUGUCCUCCCCCCAUCCCCCUCACCCUUAUGUUCUCUGUAAUAUUAGGAUGACAGUAUUCAUGCCACUGGAGGAGGCAGUGAGAAGAAGUCUGAGGAGCACCAUUAGGAUCUAAAGCCCUAGAGAAGCACUUAAGGGUCUUUGUGUGUCAGGCACUGUGCUGAAGGCUGGGGGGACCAACACAAGCCAAUCAGCAGCUGCGGAGGUACCCUGUGGGGGAGGGGGACCAGCAGUUGGCAGUAGAGCCAGGAGGGAAAAGACGGCUGGCAGGCCUGGGCCUCUCCACAAAGUGGAGGCCCUAGGUGAAGCCUUGGGCGGGCCACACCAACAGGGUCACAUCAGCUCAGCUGCAUUUGCCAGUGAUUUUGAAAUCUGAAUACGCCUUGCCGGAAUGGAAUAUUCGCACUGGCAAGAGGGAGACCAAUUUGCUUUGAAUUCUUGGCCAAAUUUUCUGCCCUUUCUCCUGUGUGAGCUGGCUAAGAGCCCUGCCAUUUCUUGUUUGUUUCGUUACAGACAGAAAUACCCAUAAAAAUCUAACAAGUGGAAGCAGGGAGUGAAAUUAUUGAGCCCACUCACUUUUGUCCCAGAUCCCAGUCUGGUUGCUGAGGCUGUGAAACAUCAGAUCAGGUGAUACAUCUGGACUUCCAGGUCCUUCCUGUUCCCAAGGUCUGUAGUCAGGACCAGACCACAGGGAGGGAGCGCCAGUCUGAGUCUGCAACAAUAGAGAGCAUGAACCCUGUUCCCUGGGCAGUUUUCCAGUGGUUUGAGAAGGACAAUGCCUGUGGCUCCCUAACAGUCUUUGGAUGGAUGUCAAAAAACAAACCCAGAGGGGUCUUUUCUGAAAGGGACACAUUUCCCUGAAGCACCUUUUAGAAAAUCAUUUUCUUUCUGGAAAUGUUGAGGCUCCCCUUUGUCUUCUCCUGGAGAAGUGUGGAAAUGAGUUUCACACCGCAAGUGUGUGCCUUCCACAGGUGGGGGUGACAUUUAUUUAUUUGUUACAAAUAAAAGAACAGGUUUGUUGGUGGA